GGUCAUCGAUCUUUAAGAAGAGGACGUCGAUGAAGAUCCUCGAAUUGAUGGAGGGUUGAAGCUAUGGCCAAAUCUUAUGAUCCGGCUCCUACUCACCCCUCCGAUGGUCCUGAGCCAUCCCUCAAGGUCAAAGAGGGGCUGAGAGGAUGGGUCCUCACCAUGCCAUGAUAUGAGAUACUCCGUAUAAUCCAUCUAUAUAGUUUAAAAAUUUAUUAGUACAUAUAUAUUAGUAUAUAUAAAAAUUUAAUAAA
rnacentral:lncRNA from 1 species